CCUACGGGAGGCAGCAGUGAGGAAUAUUGGUCAAUGGACGGAAGUCUAAACCAGCCAUGCCGCGUGCAGGAAGACGGCUCUAUGAGUUGUAAACUGCUUUUGUACAAGGGUAAACCUGAAUACGUGUAUUCAGCUGAAAGUACUGUACGAAUAAGGAUCGGCUAACUCCGUGCCAGCAGCCGCGGUAAUACGGAGGAUCCAAGCGUUAUCCGGAUUUAUUGGGUUUAAAGGGUGCGUAGGCGGAUUGAUAAGUUAGAGGUGAAAUGUUCGAGCUUAACUGGGGAACUGAAUCUAAUACUGUUGGUCUAGAGAGUAGAUGCGGUAGGCGGAAUGUAUGGUGUAGCGGUGAAAUGCUUAGAGAUCAUACAGAACACCGAUUGCGAAGGCAGCUUACCAAUCUAUAUCUGACGUUGAGGCACGAAAGCGUGGGGAGCAAACAGGAUUAGAUACCCCAGUAGUC
rnacentral:rRNA from 1 species